rnacentral:rRNA from 1 species
GGACGCCAGUCUGCGUGGAGCCAACCUUGAAAUACCACCCUUUAAUGUUUGAUGUUCUAACGUUGGCCCCUUACCGGGGUUGCGGACAGUGUCUGGUGGGUAGUUUGACUGGGGCGGUCUCCUCCCAAAGCGUAACGGAGGAGCACGAAGGUUAGCUAAUCCUGGUCGGACAUCAGGAGGUUAGUGCAAUGGCAUAAGCUAGCUUGACUGCGAGCGUGACGGCGCGAGCAGGUGCGAAAGCAGGUCAUAGUGAUCCGGUGGUUCUGAAUGGAAGGGCCAUCGCUCAACGGAUAAAAGGUACUCCGGGGAUAACA